rnacentral:rRNA from 1 species
GACGAACGCUGGCGGCGGGCUUAACACAUGCAAGUCGAACGAUGACCUCGCGCGUGCGGGGGCUAUUAGGUGCGAAGGGGUGAGUAAUACGGGAGUAACCUGCCCUUGACUCUGGGGUAAGCGUUGAAAACGGGGUCUAAUACUUGAUACUACUUCCGACCGCCGGGUGGGGGGUGGAAAGGGUUUUACUGGUUGUGAAUGGGUUCACGGCCUAUCGGCUUGUUGGUGGAGUGAUGGCUAACCAAGGCGACGACAGGUAGAUGGCCGGUGGGGGUGAGAGGCGACACUGGGACUGAGACAAGGCACCGGUUCCUAAGGGAGGCCGAAGUACGGAAUCUUGCACCAUGGGCGGCGGCUGGAUGCAGCGAGCCCGCGUGUGGGAUGACCGCCUUCGGGUUGUAGACCUGUUUCAGCAGGGAAGCCGCCACUAGUGACGGUACCUGAAGAAGAAGCGCCGGCUAACUACGUG